UCCAAAGUAGCUUAGCGGUAGAGCAAUCGGCUGUUAACCGAUCGAUCGCAGGUUCAAUCCCUGCCUUUGGAG
rnacentral:tRNA from 1 species